GAUGAACGCUAGCGGCAGGCUUAACACAUGCAAGUCGAGGGACGGUAGCAAUACUGGACCGGCAAACGGGUGCGGAACACGUACGCAACAUACCCUGAACUGGGGCAUAGCCUUCUGAAAAGGAGAUUAAUACCCCAUAAGAUAAUAGAGUGGCAUCACUUAGUUAUUAAAGAUUUAUUGGUUCAGGAUUGGCGUGCGUCCUAUUAGCUAGUUGGUAAGGGUAACGGCCUACCAAGGCGACGAUAGGUAGCUGGUGUGAGAGCA
rnacentral:rRNA from 1 species